UAAGGUGGUUACAGCGGUGGGGCUCACCUCUUCCCAUUCCGAACAGAGCAGUUAAGCCCACCAGCGCAGAUGGUACUACGAAAGUGGGAGAGUAUGUCGCCGCCUUCUUUUAGAAAACCCUUUAUCACUACGAUAAAGGGUUUUUUUAUACCCGAAAUCUA
rnacentral:rRNA from 1 species